rnacentral:rRNA from 1 species
CCUACGGGUGGCAGCAGUGAGGAAUAUUGGUCAAUGGGCGCGAGCCUGAACCAGCCAAGCAGCGUGAAGGAUGACUGUCCUACGGGUUGUAAACUUCUUUUAUAAAGGAACAAAGUGAGGCCCGUGAGCCUUACCGAACGUACCUUAAGAAUAAGGAUCGGCUAACUCCGUGCCAGCAGCCGCGGUAAUACGGAGGAUCCGAGCGUUAUCCGGAUUUAUUGGGUUUAAAGGGUGCGUAGGCGGCCUUUUAAGUCAGCGGUGAAAGCCUAUGGCUUAACCAUCGACUUGCCGUUGAAACGGGGGGUCGUGAGAAGGUGAGAGGCAGGCGGAAUGCGUAGUGUAGCGGUAAAAUGCUUAGAUAUCGCGCAGAACGCCGAUUGCGAAGGCAGCAUGCCAGGGCAUGACUGACGCUGAUGCACGAAAGCGUGGGGAUCAAACAGGAUUAGAUACCCUUGUAGUC